GACAGAGGUGCCGAGCGUUAGGCGGAAUCACUGGGCUUAAAGCGUGUGUAGGCGGACUUGUAAGUACCUUGUGAAAUCCCACAGCUCAACUGUGGAACUGCUUGGUAUACUGCUUGUCUUGAGCCACUUAGGGGCAGUCGGAACAGACGGUGGAGCGGUGAAAUGCGUAGAUAUCGGAAGGAACAUCAGUGGCGAAAGCGGCUUCCUGGACCAGUACCGACGUUCAGGCACGAAAGCGUGGGGAGCAAACAGG
rnacentral:rRNA from 1 species